CCAAACGCCGCUAGAGGCGCUGGCUGUCCUAUUAUUGGUGUGCUAAAAAACCUGACCGAAAAAUGUACCGUUUCUACUACGGGGUCUCAUGAAUAUUCAGGAAGUCAAAACGUGGUCACGUGGCACUUUUCCGGAACCUGGUGAGCUGUAGUUAGCGGACUGCCAUAGCAGCUUAUAUUUACUAUGGAAGAAGAGUAUUCACAACCAUUAUUCAUAACAGAUUCUGAGGAGAGUGAAAAAGAAAUUGGAGAAAGUGAAUCUCAAGCACAGACGCAAGCUCCAAGAUUCAUGCCACUUUUCACUCCACGCUUUAGUUCUGAGAAUACAGAUUCUGAUGACCAAAGUUUAAAAAUUCCAGAAAAGGU